GGCACGGUGGUGUAGUGGUUAGCACUAUUGCCUUACAGGAAGAAGGUCGUGGGUUCGAAUCAGGCCUGGGGCC